rnacentral:misc_RNA from 1 species
AUAAUUAUGCAGGGUGAUUGGUAACUGGUGGUACAAGCGGAAAGGGGGUGAUUCUACGCGAAAAAAGAAGUCGAAAAUGUAGAAUAAAAAUUUUUCGUUCGAGGCUUUGUUUUCGAGAAAAUCGACUUUGAAUUUUCGCUCGGUACGCGUGCACUUUAUCACAUCUCGUUAUAACGGAUCUCACUGUAGAUCCAAAAAAAAAAAUAAAAAAAAGAAAAAAA